rnacentral:rRNA from 1 species
AGGCCUACACAUGCAGUCGAGCGAGAUCUUCGGAUCUAGCGGCGGACGGGUGAGUAACGCGUGGGAACGUGCCCUUUGCUUCGGAAUAGCCCCGGGAAACUGGGAGUAAUACCGAAUGUGCCCUACGGGGGAAAGAUUUAUCGGCAAAGGAUCGGCCCGCGUUGGAUUAGGUAGUUGGUGGGGUAAUGGCCUACCAAGCCGACGAUCCAUAGCUGGUUUGAGAGGAUGAUCAGCCACACUGGGACUGAGACACGGCCCAGACUCCUACGGGAGGCAGCAGUGGGGAAUCUUAGACAAUGGGCGCAAGCCUGAUCUAGCCAUGCCGCGUGAGCGAUGAAGGCCUUAGGGUUGUAAAGCUCUUUCAGCUGGGAAGAUAAUGACGGUACCAGCAGAAGAAGCCCCGGCUAACUCCGUGCCAGCAGCCGCGGUAAUACGGAGGGGGCUAGCGUUGUUCGGAAUUACUGGGCGUAAAGCGCGCGUAGGCGGACUGGAAAGUCAGAGGUGAAAUCCCAGGGCUCAACCUUGGAACUGCCUUUGAAACUAUCAGUCUGGAGUUCCAGAGAGGUGAGUGGAAUUCCGAGUGUAGAGGUGAAAAU